ACGAACGCUGGCGGCGUGCUUAACACACGCAAGUCGAACGGAAAGGCCUGCUUUCCCUUGUGGAUUGCGGGUACUCGAGUGGCGAACGGGUGAGUAACACGUGAGUGAUCUGCCCCCAACUUGGGUAUAAGCCUGGGAAACUGGGUCUAAUUCCCGAUAGGACUGCAGGGUGGUGCCUGUGGUGGAAAACGAUUUUCUAGUGGUUGGGGAUGAGCUCGCGGCCUAUCAGCUUGUUGGUGGGGUAAUGGCCUACCAAGGCGGCGACGGGUAGCCGGCCUGAGAGGGUGGACGGCCACAUUGGGACUGAGAUACGGCCCAGACUCCUACGGGAGGCAGCAGUGGGGAAUAUUGCACAAUGGGCGGAAGCCUGAUGCAGCGACGCCGCGUGGGGGAUGACGGCCUUCGGGUUGUAAACUCCUUUCGACCGCGAGGAAGCCACCUGGUUGGAAGGGUGGUGACGGUAGUGGUAGAAGAAGCACCGGCUAACUACGUG
rnacentral:rRNA from 1 species